UUCGAAAGGCGCGACGGCAUUUUCUUCCAGAAGGAUCCGAGCCACACGUCGGCUCCUCCCGUCUCCUCCGCCUCUGCGCGCGCCCCCGCCGUGGCUCGCCACCGUUCCGCCGGCGCCGGACACGACGCGAGCUCUCUUCCCUUCGAGCGCCUCCCAAUCUCCCCCACCCUGAUCCACGCCUCCCUUCGCUGUUCUGAUCUAUGUGUUCUUUUUGAUAGAUUGAGGUCUCGAAUUCGACUAAUUGGCGUUGUUGGGCCUAUCGGAUCGAAUUUCGCUGAUACAACAACAAGGAUUGUACGAUUCUUCUGCGUAUGGUGCGCGGGCGGAGGAUUUGACGGGUAAAAUCGGGAGAAGAGCUGUGAAUUGUGCGUUGCGCGUUUAGAAUUUGGCCUGCAUUAUUGCUGUGGAUUGUAUCGAAUCCUUCUGAUGUGGCCUCUCGUUUGAUCUUGGAAGGAUAAGGUGGAUUAGACUGACAGUAACAAUGCGGUCAGCUAGAAGUAAUUUCAGGCGAAUGACCAUAUUUUUUACUUUCCAAUCAACUUAUCUUUGACAUGGAUGGGAUGACAUAUCACCAACUAGGAGAAGAGGACAUGUUCCUUUCCUUCGAUUUUUGCCAACAAUGUAACUCGGAAAAUGUAGUUUGUAAGGGUGAUAUUUGUUAUGAAGGGCUGUCUGUUAUCAGUUACCAAAGGGAUCCGUGGUACACAGCUAUCAGUUUGUGUAAAUUGAUGGUGAUAAUAGAGGGCACACAAGAAUUUUACUAACGCCAUGACAGAGAUGGUUUCUAUCUCGAUCAUCUACCUUCUAUUCUUUUUCCUUUGGUGAGGCAUGAAUUCAUUUGGAUACUAUUGCUUUUGGGUGAACCUGUUGGAGGAAUCAUUCCACAAACGUGAAGAACUACAUGCAGUCCUGAGAUGAGAGGCUAGUUACAUGUGAAAUAACAGGCAGUGUUAUUUGCUAAUCAAGGAUCUACUCUCAUGCUACUUUCUGCACUGUCGUUAACUGAAAAUGCAAAGAACUCAACAUGAGUUCCUUGGGACGCGGGUUAGUGAUCAGUUGAUCAGCACAGCUCAAAUCUACGCUGUAACAACAGCUGGGUUACGCGUGUUACUUGGACCCCUACAAUCCUCCAAUGAUUGCUUCCAAAGUUGCAUUUACCAGUCAGAGUUCAGGUGACGCUGCUCCACUUUGAAGUACUGCUUCGAGGUUCAUUGCAUGUGCAACGCUACCGUGACCUGAGAGAGAUGGUGCUGAAGAAAGGAACCCCACCAGGUAGAAAAUUUCCUCAUCUGGAUCUUGCCGAAGACUUCCUUAGCAAAUCUUUGGAUUGAGCUCCUUGGGAUUAGAAGAUUCAACCAAGGGUGUGGAACUUCCCAGAGGCCUUGUGCCCUCAGCUUCACCUCGGAGGUGUGCACCCUGUCCAAGAACUCCAGUUACUAUGAAUGAUGAAGUCACAUGUCAACAUCUCGGUGCAAACGGAAAUAAUGAACUCACCUGUUCCAUGAUAUCUGCUUCGUCACUGUUGAAGUUCUUAGUUAGCUCGAGGCAGUAUAGAACCCUUCCAUCUGGCUGAAAACGGCUUGCUUGGACUGGGUCCUGUGGCUUGAAGGACGUCCUCCAGUUGUUGAGGAUGCCUGUCCUGUUUAUGAUGACAAAACCUUCAAUGUAGUCAAAGGUGUUCUCUGCCAUGAUCAGCAUCUCCUGGUCCUCGGUGAAGCUUGCAAAAUCCGAGCUCAAGGGCAAUCCUUGCCCUGGUGAUGAUCCCGAACUGACCGAGACCGCCGAGAGCAGCGUAGAAGAGAUCAGAGUUCUCCUCGGGAGAGCAGUUGAUUGACAUUGCUGACCUGCGGUCCGUGGCGGAACGCCUGGCCGCUGACCCCCGCAUUAGACAACGUGCCACCGACCGUGAGAUGGAGAUAGUCGGUCCAAGACUUGGGCGCCAGGCCGUGCUUGAGGGUCUCGUGGAGCACGUUGAUCCAGAGCUCCCCUCCUGGGGCGUCCACAAACGGAGACAUGCCGCCAUGGACUACCUGGAGCCUGUCACUGCCCCGGAGCGACUCCAUCCUGACGACGAUGCCCCCGGCAGCCUGGGACUGGCCCAUGAGCGAGUGCCCGUGGCCGCGCGCGGCGACGGUGAGGGGCGAGCGCUCGCCCAGGGAGAAGACGUGCCUCAAGGUCGUGGCGAUGUCGGACACGGAGCCGGGGUGGAGCACGGCGGCCGGCAGCAAGCUGCAGCGGUUGCCGAAGUCCCGCGCCAUGGCGGAGGUGUCGUGGAAGCUGAAAUGGCCGUCGAGGCGCAGCGCCCCGAGGGAGGAGAGCACGUCGGCGUCGGGCACGUGCAUGGUCACCCCGCCGAGCGCCAGCAGCAGCAGCAUCAGCUUGAAGCAGUGCUCCAGUGAUGGCUUCAUGGUGUCCGGCCGGCCGGCUGGCUCUUCAAUUUAUAAUUCAACAACCCAACCAAAAGGAUGGAAGUUUGGCAGGUUGGUAGGAAGCUUGGAAUUUGAAGGUGGAGAUGGAGAGGGCUUCUUGUAUAGUGGGAGAUCUUGAUGAUGAGGUGCAACAAGAGCAGGAGACGGACUGACGGAGGGAGGAGAGCGAGAGAGAGAGAGAGAGAGAGGGUGUAGGCGGUGGUGGUGGUUGUCCAUGCAGGGGAGGGGAGGGGUCUCUCUAUAUAGGAGUAGGAGGGGGAGCUGCGUGAGGCGUGAGUGGUGCGGUCAACUAAGUCAGUCCUGGGCGCUGGCUGUUUGGUAAAAACCGUAUGACGACUGUCUGCCUGCCGGCUUGGCUUUGUUGCUUGCAAAUUCGGGCACAGGCAUGCCCUAGUGCUCCUAUCUUGAGCAAGGGGGGAACAUAACAAGCUAAUGGCGAGGAGGAGAUCUCACAGAAAAGAAGGGGGCCGGAUCCUCUGUUCCAGCAUCCGUCGGCGCUCUCUCAGACAGUCACAUGGCUUGCAUGCGUCUGUCCCUGCCCAAACCCACAGGACAUCCGUAUGUUGGUCAUAUGCUGUUGGAUUGGAGCUCGGCUGGGCCUUUGCUGCUUCUCUGAAGAACCUCGCUGCCCUUCUCUAAUCUAAUGAAUGAUAAGCAAGGCAAAGCUCGCUGGAGUGGAUCUUUCGGUUAGCUCAAUCGUAUGGACAUGGAUUACUUGGGAUAUUUCUUUCUCUCCCUCUCUCGAUCUCCCCCUCUCUGCUGGUAGUGAGUGGUAAUUGCUUGAUAAUUCCAGAGGGCCAGGAGCUUUCAGAUGAUAAAUGUUUGGCAUAAUCACUUGCCCCACUUGACCCCAUUUCACUCAUCAUCCCGUGUUCCAGCCUUCCUUUCCCAUGUAGCAGUGCCCGCCAUCGUUGUUGAGCUGAGCUUGUUCGUCCGGGAAUUGAUGAGGAGAGCAGCCAGUAGCCGCUAGGGGCCCUCUCAAGUUCGUUUCCCGAAUCCAGUAGCAUCCGGGUGAUGGCAACAUGAGCACACAUGCGCAACCACCUUUGUGGUACGACUUGGACCGUCGCGUUUGCUGUUGCUGCCCGACCCGACCCCAGCGUAUGCGGAAGCCCAGCCCGGCUACGUACACGGCACAGCAAGCGAUCCGAUUCUCUUCUGUGUGGACGCCCCGGAGCCCAGCCGGAUCGACCACCCGACCCAGACCAGAAACGGACAAGAGCUAGCUGAUCAGAAAUCCAGAACGCUUGUGACUUGCAAGGGCGAACGAUCCCGCUGUUGGCGUCAGGAAUUUAAAGUGCAGGGGGGGGGCGAGAUGGACACCGGCGGACGGUAACGCAUCGGGACGCGACCAAGUGGAGUGGUGUGGUCCGGUCCGGCCGAGCACUAGCACCAAGCAAGCAAAGGGGUAGCAGAGCAGAGAGGCCGCCACUUUGACCGUCACCUGCACGUCCAUCCUGUCCGGCCGCAUGCCUGAUGUUGGAAAUUGUAUCAUCUAAACAAAAUUAGUUUCAUCGCUGGAUAAUCGGAUUUGUCACUGCAAUAUAUUUCUGAUUAAUUGUGAAUUAGAAAAAAGAGAUAAUAAGGUGUUGUUGUUCUGUUCCUGCGUGUGCCCUGACUGACGAAGCUGAUGUGUGAGCAAGACAAGCACUGUGACGCAGAGAGAGAUGCUCAUGCAUGUGCAUGGCAUGGGGGAGACCUGACCUGACGGACUUGGCCAGGAGAGGGAUCGGAUCGAUCGAAGGCGGCCGGAGAGCGAUCGCCGGUGCGGCCCGGCCUUGAGAUCGCGCGGAAGUGGACCUCGGGGACCCAUCCCCCACGUGGCCUUCUUGACAUUUUCCCCGGUAGCUUUCGGCCCGCGGGACCCAGCGCGCGGACGUGUCAAGCCCUGACAUGAGGAACAAACUCACAAGCUGUGGGGGCAUGGCCCACGAUUCUGUUUGGCUCUGGGGUCUCUGCUGCAAUCUCCUGACUCAUUUAUCAGCAUGCUCGAGGAUGGCAGGUAGACAAACUCAUGAGUUGCUAUAGUGGUACGUACAUUUGUACUGGCACUCGUGUCCUUGUAAUGCACGCCGAUCUUAAGGUUUGGAGAUACCCUCCCUCGGUCCCUCCACCAACAACAAACAAUGCAACUCUGAAAAUUCUAAGACACAUUAAAAGGAAUGAGCGCAAUUUAAUUGGGUCUCUGC